rnacentral:rRNA from 1 species
AACGCGAAGAACCUUACCAGCCCUUGACAUGCCCAGGACCGGUCGCAGAGAUGUGACCUUCCCUUCGGAGCCUGGAACACAGGUGCUGCAUGGCUGUCGUCAGCUCGUGUCGUGAGAUGUUGGGUUAAGUCCCGCAACGAGCGCAACCCCCGUCCUUAGUUGCUACCAUUUAGUUGAGCACUCUAAGGAGACUGCCGGUGAUAAGCCGCGAGGAAGGUGGGGAUGACGUCAAGUCCUCAUGGCCCUUACGGGCUGGGCUACACACGUGCUACAAUGGCGGUGACAAUGGGAUGCUAAGGGGCGACCCUUCGCAAAUCUCAAAAAGCCGUCUCAGUUCGGAUUGGGCUCUGCAACUCGAGCCCAUGAAGUUGGAAUCGCUAGUAAUCGUGGAUCAGCACGCCACGGUGAAUACGUUCCCGGGCCUUGUACACACCG